CUAACGUGUAAUUUCCAAAUUACCACUAAAAAAAUUGUAAUUUUUGAUUUUUACCACUAUUAAAAUGGUAUUUUUUGUGUAAAAAAUAAUUUGUGUAAAAAUUUUCAGCGUGUAAUUCAAACAUGUAAUUUUUACCACUAUUUUAGUGGAACAGUGCCACUUAAAAAGUGGUAAAUAUUCAACAGCGUGUAAAAUUUGGUGCAUGUACUCAAAAACGUGUAAAAUCGCCAUUACAGUUUGACAGCUGCUGGAAGCAUCCACCUCGGAAACUGGAUCACGGAGAUGGCCAACCAGACGAAAUGAAGGUAUAGAUGCUGACGGAACGUCUGAAAUCUGGAAUGCAGCAAUUAGGAAGAUGGUGAUGGAGAAAUCGCUGAUGAAGGAAGAUAGCAGCCCCCUAAAGAUCUGUUACCAAAAUCGCAUCCUCAACAAGGAAUUUUUUCCAAAUAAUGGAAGCAAUUUGAUGCUGGACAUGAAGAAAUCUCAUGGACAUGAAGGACAUGAGGAAAAAUGCUUCAAGAAAAAAUGCGAAAAGAAUAUUUUCAAGGAAAAUAAAAAUACACGCUAGAAAUUACAAGUUUUUUUAAUUUUACACGCUCCUUUUUACACAUAUUUGAAAAUUACAUUCUGCAAAUUACACGC